CUACGGGAGGCUCCAGUGGGGAAUAUUGCACAAUGGGCGCAAGCCUGAUGCAGCAACGCCGCGUGAGGGAUGAAGGCCUUCGGGUUGUAAACCUCUUUUAGCAGGGAAGAAGCGAAAGUGACGGUACCUGCAGAAAAAGCACCGGCUAACUACGUGCCAGCAGCCGCGGUAAUACGUAGGGUGCAAGCGUUGUCCGGAAUUAUUGGGCGUAAAGAGCUCGUAGGCGGUUUGUCACGUCUGCUGUGAAAAUCCAAGGCUCAACCUUGGACUUGCAGUGGGUACGGGCAGGCUAGAGCGCGGUAGGGGAGAUGGGAAUUCCUGGUGUAGCGGUGGAAUGCGCAGAUAUCAGGAGGAACACCAAUGGCGAAGGCACAUCUCUGGGCCGUAACUGACGCUGAGGAACGAAAGCGUGGGGAGCGAACAGGAUUAGAUACCCGAGUAGUC
rnacentral:rRNA from 1 species